rnacentral:tRNA from 1 species
GUGUGCGUAAUUUAAAAAAAAUACCAAGCUGUGAUCUUGGCAAUAGGAGCACUUCUCACACAUCG